rnacentral:rRNA from 1 species
CCUACGGGUGGCAGCAGUGGGGAAUAUUGGUCAAUGGAGGAAACUCUGAACCAGCAACGCCGCGUGAAUGAUGAAGGUCUUCGGAUUGUAAAGUUCUUUUCUAAGGGAAGAAGAAAGUGACGGUACCUUAGGAAUAAGCCUCGGCUAACCACUUGCCAGCCGCCGCGGUAAUACGUAGGAGGCGAGCGUUAUCCGGAUUGACUGGGCGUAAAGGGUGCGUAGGUGGUUUGACAAGUUGGUAGCGUAACUCCGAGGCUCAACCUCGGCACUACUACCAAAACUGUCGGACUUGAGUGCAGGAGGGGCAAUUGGAAUGCCUAGUGUAGCGGUGGAAUGCUCAGAUAUUAGGAGGAACCCCGGUUGCGAAGGCGAAUUGC